ACGUUACCCGCAGAAGAAGCACCGGCUAACUCCGUGCCAGCAGCCGCGGUAAUACGGAGGGUGCAAGCGUUAAUCGGAAUUACUGGGCGUAAAGCGCACGCAGGCGGUCUGUCAAGUCGGAUGUGAAAUCCCCGGGCUCAACCUGGGAACUGCAUUCGAAACUGGCAGGCUUGAGUCUUGUAGAGGGGGGUAGAAUUCCAGGUGUAGCGGUGAAAUGCGUAGAGAUCUGGAGGAAUACCGGUGGCGAAGGCGGCCCCCUGGACAAAGACUGACGCUCAGGUGCGAAA
rnacentral:rRNA from 1 species